UACGGAGGGUGCGAACGUUAAUCGGAAUUACUGGGCGUAAAGCGCGCGUAGGUGGUUUAUUAAGUGGGAUGUGAAAGCCCCGGGCUUAACCUGGGAACUGCAUUCCAAACUGAUGAACUAGAGUACGAUAGAGGGGGGUAGAAUUCAGAGUGUAGCGGUGAAAUGCGUAGAUAUUCUGAGGAAUACCGGUGGCGAAGGCGGCCCCCUGGAUUGAUACUGACACUGAGGUGCGAAAGCGUGGGGAGCAAAC
rnacentral:rRNA from 1 species